rnacentral:rRNA from 1 species
UAAUGUCGGGGAAAGCUUUUGCGGUUUGGGAGGAGUCUGCGUUGUAUCAGGUAGUUGGUGGGGUAAUAGCUCACCAAGCCACUGACGCAUAGCGGGUGUGAGAGCAUGACCCGCCAGAAUGGGACUGAGACACGGCCCAUACUCCUACGGGAGGCAGCAGUGAGGAAUCUUCCGCAAUGGGCGAAAGCCUGACGGAGCCAUACCGCGUGCAGGAUGACACCUUUCGGGGCGUAAACUGCUUUUCUGAAGGAAUACAUUCUGAAGGUACUUCAGGAAUAAAGGUCGGCUAACUACGUGCCAGCAGCCGCGGUAAUACGUAGGACCUAAGCGUUAUCCGGAAUCACUGGGCGUAAAGCGAUCGAAGGUGGACCAGUAAGUCUGAUGUUAAAUACCCACGGCUCAACCGGGGUGCUGCGUUGGAAACUACUGGACUAGAGGAAGACAUAGGUAGCUGGAAUUCUUGUUGUAGGGGUUAAAUCCGUAGAUAACAAGAGGAACACCGAAAGCGAAGGCAUGCUACUGGGUCUUUCCUGACACUGCGCGAUCGAAAGCGUGGGGAGCGAAAGGGAUUAGAUACCCCUGUAGUCCACGCCGUAAACGAUGAAUGCUCGGCGUUCGAUUUUUAAUCGAUUGAGUGCCCAAGCUAACGCGUUAAGCAUUCCGCCUGAAGAGUACGACCGCAAGGUUAAAACUCAAAGGAAUAGACGGGGAUCCACACAAGCGGUGGAGCAUGUGGUUUAAUUCGACAAUAAGCGGGGAACCUUACCAGGACUUGACAUCUUCGGAAUUUGCUGGAAACAGCGAAGUGCACUUCGGGAACCGAAUGACAGGUGUUGCAUGGUUGUCGUCAGCUCGUGCCUUGAGGUGUUCGGUUAAGUCCGUUAACGAGCGCAACCCUCGUCGUAUGUUGUAUUGUUCAUACGAGACUGCCGGUUUUACACCGGAGGAAGGUGAGGAUGACGUCAAAUCAGCAUGGCCCUUAUGUCCUGGGCGACACACGUGCUACAAUGGCCGGGUACAAAGAGUAGCAAAGCAGUAAGGCGGAGCCAAUCUCAUAAAGCCGGUCAUAGUUCGGAUUGAGGGCUGCAACUCGCCAUCAUGAAGCUGGAAUCGCUAGUAACAGUAGAUCAGCCAUGCUACAGGUGAAUAUGUUCAUGGAUCUUGUACUCACCGCCCGUCAAGUCAUG